AAUAAGAAGCAAAGAUUGCAUUUAGUUUCGACCUAAAAAUAUGAUUUUCAAUAAUCCUUAUUUU
rnacentral:tRNA from 1 species